rnacentral:rRNA from 1 species
AUGCACACUAGGUACUACCAUCCUUCAUGGUGGGGAAGAGCUGAACCGAUCCACAUCACCACCUGUCCAAGGUACCCUGGUUCCAAAGAAGGCACCAUUCCAGAUGUUUUCUUCAUCAACAUCUCAUCAGUAUCAGAAAAUGGUGGUUUCUUAGCUGGAUCGAGGCACAGCCUGCUUCGCAACUUGAAGUUCAAGAAUGUUGAUUUGACCUACAAGAGAUGGACAAACUAUACCGGGGGCUUGUAUGACUACAGGCCUGGAUGCCAGGACCUGGUAAAGCACAAGACUGGUGGUAUGAUGCUGGAGCAAAUCUCCAUCUUGGAGAUCGAUAAUGUCAGGAUGAGAUGGUCGAGAGGAAGCCUCAAAGGGUGGGAUGUUAAUCCACUCCUAUUCCAGCCAUCAACUAUUGACAGGCUGUCAUUCCAUGAUUAG